rnacentral:tRNA from 1 species
CCCGCUAUAGUGUAAUGGUAGCACGAGGGCUUUAUACACCCUGAGUCCUAGAUUGGGGCGCGGUUCGGAUUCGACUUCUGAUAGCGGGA